rnacentral:lncRNA from 1 species
CUUUUUUUUGUUUUUGUUUUUUCCCCCUCACAGACUGAUCUCUCCUAGAACAGUUGAGAAGAAUGCACACAGAAUCUACAUUCUUUUGACCCUUCCAACAUCCGCUGGCCAAGACUGGGAUUGCUCCCUAAGAUUGGAAAGCUGCCUCUGAGACUCUGAAGGUUUUCCUGCUGAUACUCGCUCCUUCCCAGUAACCCUCCAUCCCAAGGGGAGCCCCAGAAAGAACACCAGGGGGGCCUCCCUGCUGCCACAGAACCACCUCACCCGCCACUCCAGGUAAGGCCGCGCCUGCCCGCCACCACACCUGU